rnacentral:lncRNA from 1 species
UAGCUCAGCAGAUUAAGGAUAUGGUGUUGUCACAACUGCAGCUCAGGUCACUGCUGUGGUGCAUGUUCAAUCCCUGGUCCAGGAACUUAUGUGCCACGGGUGCAGCCAAAACCAAUACAGAUGUUGAAUAAUGAAUAUGUAUGACUCUAAGCAAAACAGUACAAAGGCUUUCAGAAUUUUUUGACUUCGACCCACAGUAAGAAGUACAGUUUACAUCCUGGCCCAGUACAAACACGCAUUUAUGUAUUUAUACAAUUAAAACAAGCAUUCCAUGAAGCAUUAGUUUGUGCUACCUGUCUUUACCUCCUGAUGUUUUCUAUUUUUCUAUUCUGUUUUAUUGAAGCAAAAGAAAGGAGAGAAUGCAGGUAUUAACCAACUAUAAUGACUUCCUGAACCCCCGAUGGGUAAAUUGAAAAAUACUGACUAUUGUGCAGCAGUGCCCUUCUUUUAUUUCAUGAGUGAGUAAAAUUUCAAAAGAAAUUUUGGCAGUUGAUGUAAGAUCAUCCACUUUUUAGGUUGCAGCAUAAGGAUAUUUAAAAACUUUCACCAUCACCCCCCUUUUUUUUUGGCCAUGGCAUGUGGAAAUUCUGAGGCCAGGGACUGAACCUGAGCCACAGCAGUGGCAACACCAGAUCCGUAACCCAUUGUACUACCGGGGAACUCCAACUUCCUCCAUUCUUGAGUCCCCUUGUGGCUCAGUAGAUUCCAGAUCUGGCAUUGUCACUGCUGUGGCUCUGGUUAGCUGCAGUGGCUUGGAUUUGAUCCCUAAUCCAGGGAACUUCUGCAUGCCACGUGUGUGACCAAAACAAACAAACAAAAUUUCCACUCUUCUUUAAUUAUUUUUUUGGGUGGGGUUGCUCUCACGGCAUGCAAAAGAUCCCAGGCCAGGGAUCGAACCCAAGCCACAGCAGUGAAAGCGCCAGAUCCUUAACCCACUGAGCCACAUAGAAACUCCUAUUCAUUUUUUGUUAAAAGUUUGAUACAAUUUCAGGAUUUAAAUAGUGAGUAAAUUUAGCUUCAUGAGAACAGACUUUCCGGGCUUUGUUUUCUCUGUUUGGCAUUGGACCUGUGCAAACUUGGUGACAUGAGGCAUUUGGGAAUCCUCGAGGAAUUAUCCGAGCAGCCAAAGGAGCCCCGCUUUGGAACCACACAACUGCAGCUCUGAAUCCAGGCGACUUGGGGGCAAAUCCCUUUUCUGAGCCCCGGUCUUGCCCACCUGCAAAAGGGGUCCCUUUCGCAGACAUGGAGAUGAGAUUUAUACAGUUGAGGACAGUUCCAGAUGCAGAGAUGUUUAGGAGCGGUAACCUCUCAGGGUCAUUCACUCUCUUAGCUGUCCUGUGCUGUAAAAAACUUGGAAUGUUGAAAGACGUUUAGUAUACAUUUCUGCUUUAUGACAAACUAUCCCUUUAAUGAUUAGUAACAUAAACACUUUUUUUUUUUUUUAACUUUCCUGUCUUGUCUUACUCUCAAGCUUUACCCUUCUCGCUAAAUUUUCUCCCACCGUUUAACCUCCUGUCCACUUCUUUAUACCCUGACUCGUGACGGAAACACAGCUUGUCUGACAGUUUGAGGGGACAGAAAGAAAAUAUUCCUUGAUAGUGCGGUGAGGUUGCAGUUUUUAAGUUGCGAUUUUGGCCAGCGAGGGCUCGGCUGGUGAGCGGAAUACUAAGAAUAAGGGAAGGAUGUGCUUAAAAUAGAUCUCAUGAGCCUUCUGUUUAAUUACGUGGUAAUUUGUAAAACAGACUGCUUUCUGUGGCCUGGAAUACUGAUAGAGAAUUGUCCCUUACUUAUGUUAAAAGCAUAAGCCCGAAGGAAUGAAUACUCCACACGUCUACACACAUUUUCUAUCUCCAAAGACUCCCCACGAAUCAGCCAGAAAAUCUUUCUCUUCGGUUAUCUUGAAAGCGCUGACCUUUCUCAACCGUUGAUUGGAUAUGUUCUUCAUCAUCAACAUCUGUAUUUAUUUUAUUAUUAUUAUUAUUAUUAUUUUGUCUUUUUGCCUUUUCUACGGCUGCUCCCGCAGCACAUGGAGAUUCCCAGGCUAGGGGUCUAAUCGGAGCUGUAGCUGCUGACCUACACCAGAGCCACAGCAAUGCCAGAUCUGAGCCGUAUCUUCGACCUACACCACAGCUCACGGCAACGCUGGAUCCUUAACCCACUGAGCAAGGCCAGGGAUCGAACCUGCAACCUCAUGGUUCCUAGUCAGAUUCGUUAACCACUGUGCCACGACGGGAACUCCAACACCUGUAUUUAAAAUGGCCUCUGGGGAGUUCCUGUUGUAGCUCAGCAGAAACAAAUCCGGCUAGUAUCCAUGAGGAUAUGGGUUCGAUUCCUGGCCCCACUCAGUGGGUUAAGGAUCCAACAUUGCCGUGAGCUACGUAGGUCGCCGAUGCAGCUCGGAUCCUGCAUUGCUGUGGCUGUGGCGUAGGCCGGCAGCUACACCUCCGAUUCAACCCUCAGCCUCCUGGGAACUUCCACAUGCCAUGAGUGGAGCCCUAAAAAAAAGCAAAAUAUAAAAUAAAUAAAAUGGCCUCUGUUUAGGAGUUCGCCUUUUGGCUCAGGGGGUUAAGAACCCAACUAGUAUCCAUAAGGUUGCAGGUUCCAUCCGUGGCCUCGCUCUGUGGGUUAAGGGUCUGGCAUGGCUAUGAGCUGCCAUGUGGGUUGUGAAUGUGUCUUAGAUCUGGCGUUGCUGUGGCUGUGGCGUAGGACGGCGGCUAUGGCUCCGAUUUGACCCGUAGCCUGGCAACCUCCAUAUGCCAGGUGCGGCCCUAAAAAGACCAAAAUAAAAUAAAAUAAAAGGCCUCUGUUGGACUAAAAGGAUAUUUUCAGUUUCAGAUGGCACCGACCACACCCCCCUAUUUCCCCAGGAAAGUUUCAGCUAUCGGAAACUCUCAGGAAAGGAGCUGGGUGUUCCUGAUAAGGAAGUUUUAACCAAAUCAUGUACAUUUUUCUAGAGUGUUUUCUAGAAUAGUAGCUAACAUGGUGGGGGGGGGGGAGGUUUGCCUUGUUCUAGAAACUUUGUUAAAGGUUUUCUGAACGUCUCAUUUAAUCCUAAGAAAAAAGAAAUACUUCCCUGCCUUGAUUUCCUGAGAGAUCUUUGUACAUAUCAGCUGUUACGAGUCUUCUCCCUCUGGAUGUCAGCUCUGUGAGAAUGCCGUUCUCAUUUAGCUUACCACUAUUUAUUGAGGGAUUAUUAUGUGCCAGAUAUGCGGCAAUGAGUAAAAACAAACUUCCUGCCUUCUGCAUGGGAGGACCCUGACAAUAAUGUUUAAGUAUACAACUAGAAUAUAACAGCAGGUAAAGAAUACAAACAAAAAAGGUAGGAUACAGGAGCAGGCAGUGGGGAUGGGGAGCGUGAGGUGGGGAGGCCUUUGAUGGGAUGACAUUUGAGCAGAGACCUGCAUGAAUCAUGGGAACAGGCCUUGCAGAUAUUUGGCAAAAGAGCCCGUUACUUCUGCCCUUCCCUCUUCUGCUUUUUGUCAUUUUCUGUCUCCUCUUGCCUUGAGCCAGACCAAGAAGUCCAGAUCUAGAGAGGAGACAGAGCUGCAAGUGUGAAGCAGGGGAGGCAGAGGGCUUUUGCUGCAGCUGCGGGGGCAGGUCUGGACAUGCGGGUCACACCACGUGGGAAAGUGUGGCGGCUGCUUUGAUCAGCCGAGCUCGCCGGCAAUCAGAGGACCAGCCAGCCCUGGGCAGUGGGACACGCAGCCGCAGGAGAAGCGUCCAAGAGGAGUCUGGCGACCAGCAUAAGCAGAAUACAGGCUGGAUUGGGGGUGUUGUCGGCAUGGGGCAGAGAAACCAAGACCACAGGUGGCACGGCUCGUAGGGCUCAGAACAGAAUCUGGCUCUCCAAGAAGAUGGGUCAGAGCAGGGCUGGAGACCAGAAGCAGAAACUGUGGU